GAUGAACGCUGGCGGCGUGCUUAACACAUGCAAGUCGAACGAUGAAGCCCAGCUUGCUGGGUGGGUUAGUGGCGAACGGGUGAGUAACACGUGAGUAACCUCCCCUUAACUCUUGGAUAUGCCUGCGAAACUCGGUCUAUUACACCAUAGAAGCGUCCACCCCAUGUUGGGUGUUGGAAAGAUUUAUCGGUUUUGGAUGGACUCGCGGCCUAUCAGCUUGUUGGUGGGGUAUUGGCUCACCAAGGCGACGACGGGUAGCCGGCCUGAGAGGGUGACCGGCCACACUGGGACUGAGACACGGCCCAGACUCCUACGGGAGGCAGCAGUGGGGAAUAUUGCACAAUGGGCGGAAGCCUGAUGCAGCGACGCCGCGUGCGGGAUGACGGCCUUCGGGUUGUAAACCGCUUUCGGUAGGGAAGAAGCGAAAGUGACGGUAACGGCAGAAGAAGCACCGGCUAACUACGUG
rnacentral:rRNA from 1 species